AGGACGAGUACGAUGAAGACGAUGAGGAGGAGAAGGCGACAGUACAUGUGAUCAAACCUGUGCCUGAACCUGAGCAGGAAGCACCAAAGGCUGAGCCCACAGUGUGUCCCUGUCUGCAUUCAGCUAGAGCCAAAGAGACGGUCACCAAGACGGCAGAGAAGAAAGAUGCUCCCAGGAGGGUCUCAGCUGUGAGGAGGAAAG